UUUUUCAUUUUUAAACUUUGUAUACAGAAUUUUGUGUUUCGAAUAAAGACCAAAUAAACCUUGAUAAUGUUAUGCCUUUUGUCUAUAGAUAACAAUUGCUAUUUUUCUUUUUAAUUUAAGACGGUUUUAACGAUGUCUAUUUAAUUUAAUGAUAUUUAAAAAAUAAAUAAAAAACACUUUAGUUUUAAUUAUUAUUCCACACCUUUUGUUACUAAAAUUUAGUUUUUGGGGUAUGGGUUUACCCAGUUUCACUUCAUGCACCACCCUUUUUAAACUUUUUGUACAGUUAGACUCUAAUAAUACUUGCUGCACCCCUAUACCCAUAUUGCACACAUCGCACUUAUUUUAUUUUGCUGUUGGUCCGGGCCACAUUUCUUUUCUCUAUCACUCUGCCUUUAUUUUGCCGUUGGGCGGCAUUUAUGUCAACCUGCAACCCGUGCUCCUUCUGCAUGCACCGCAUCCCCUUUAAUUCAUUGUUUCGUUUUUUCUCACUACACUCACACUUGCUCAUGCACUCCCAUAUUUUUAUUUUUAGUUUUCUCCUUGUUUUUUUUUUUCCAAUUGCACUAUAUAUUUCACACACGCACCCCUAUUUUUAUUUUUCUCACCUAAAACAAGUUAGGUUUUAUUUUUCUCUCACCCCACUUACUCUGGCAUCUCACUUUUCUAUAAAUAAUAGAAAUAUUAA
rnacentral:lncRNA from 1 species